AUUGAACGCUGGCGGCAUGCCUUACACAUGCAAGUCGAACGGUAACAGGUCUUCGGAUGCUGCCGAGUGGCGAACGGGUGCGUAAUACAUCGGAACGUGCCCAGACGUGGGGGAUAACGAGGCGAAAGCUUUGCUAAUACCGCAUACGAUCUAAGGAUGAAAGCAGGGGACCGCAAGGCCUUGCGCGUUUGGAGCGGCCGAUGGCAGAUUAGGUAGUUGGUGGGAUAAAAGCUUACCAAGCCGACGAUCUGUAGCUGGUCUGAGAGGACGACCAGCCACACUGGGACUGAGACACGGCCCAGACUCCUACGGGAGGCAGCAGUGGGGAAUUUUGGACAAUGGGCGAAAGCCUGAUCCAGCAAUGCCGCGUGCAGGAUGAAGGCCUUCGGGUUGUAAACUGCUUUUGUACGGAACGAAAAGGCUCUGGCUAAUACCUGGGGCACAUGACGGUACCGGAAGAAUAAGCACCGGCUAACUACGUG
rnacentral:rRNA from 1 species